rnacentral:tRNA from 1 species
GCGGGAGUGGCGGAAUUGGCAGACGCGCUAGACUUAGGAUCUAGUGUCCCACGACGUGCAGGUUCAAGUCCUGUCUUCCGCACCA